rnacentral:rRNA from 1 species
AGCGAACGCUGGCGGCAGGCUUAACACAUGCAAGUCGAGCGGGCGUAGCAAUACGUCAGCGGCAGACGGGUGAGUAACGCGUGGGAACGUACCUUUUGGUUCGGAACAACCCAGGGAAACUUGGGCUAAUACCGGAUAAGCCCUUACGGGGAAAGAUUUAUCGCCAAAAGAUCGGCCCGCGUCUGAUUAGCUUGUUGGUGAGGUAACGGCUCACCAAGGCGACGAUCAGUAGCUGGUCUGAGAGGAUGAUCAGCCACAUUGGGACUGAGACACGGCCCAAACUCCUACGGGAGGCAGCAGUGGGGAAUAUUGGACAAUGGGCGCAAGCCUGAUCCAGCCAUGCCGCGUGAGUGAUGAAGGCCCUAGGGUUGUAAAGCUCUUUUGUGCGGGAAGAUAAUGACUGUACCGCAAGAAUAAGCCCCGGCUAACUUCGUGCC